CCUACGGGUGGCAGCAGUGAGGAAUAUUGGUCAAUGGGCGGGAGCCUGAACCAGCCAAGCCGCGUGAGGGAAGAAGGUACAGCGUAUCGUAAACCUCUUUUGUCAGGGAACAAAGUCGGGCACUAGUCCCCGGCUGAGGGUACCCGACGAACAAGCAUCGGCAAACUCCGUGCCAGCAGCCGCGGUAAUACGGAGGAUGCGAGCGUUAUCCGGAUUUAUUGGGGUUAAAGGGUGCGCAGGCGGACUGUUAAGUCCGCGGUAAAAGCGCGGGGCGCAACCCCGGCGAGCCGUUGAAACUGGCGGGCUGGAGUUGGAGAGAAGUACGCGGAAUGCGCGGUGUAGCGGUGAAAUGCUUAGAUAUCGAGAAGAACCCCGAUUGCGAAGGCAGCUUACCGGAU
rnacentral:rRNA from 1 species